rnacentral:lncRNA from 1 species
GCCGGAGCCUGUGGCAGGUAUCAACAAUGCUCCCGUGGAAAGGAAAGCUGGAACUCAGCAUCUCAAAGUUGCACAAGAGGCAGUUUCCAGUUACAUACAGACGUCAUCAGCACCUUUGCAGAACAGUCAGCAAAUGAUACUAUCAGCAAUAUUUAAUACAGCCACAGUCUUUAGCAGCAAGUUUUUGUAUAUAUGAAAACUGAUGCAACUGUAGAUGCAAUUCUCUGUAGCACAAACUGGAUGGGUAAGGAGGGGUUCCUGGUGGCUCACCCUACAAAUUGUUCCCAAAUGCUCGUUGAAUUGCAAACAAGUGGGAAAAAAGUUACAGUGAACCUACUGCCUUGCAGUUUGUGAAGUGAGGCCCUGGUGGUCACCAUUUUGUUAAAGACCUUAACAAAAUGAAGCCUCUCCAUGAAAAUGUGAUGGGCAGAUUCAGAGGGCUGGCAGGAGUGGGAGAUGCUGGAGGAGCCAUCCCAGACAAGAGCUGCUCUUUGCAGGCAGGAAGGAGAGACUGGGGAAGCUCAAAGGAAGCCAUCUUGAUAGAGAGAGAUGAGUAAUAACGUAAACUGGAGCAACUGGAGGGUGCC